CAGAGUUGCAAAACUCCCACAAACCAUCGCGACUCUUACCCGUACGGUUGCCUCGGCGCUGGCGGUCCGGAAGGCCCUCGGGCCCCCCGGAUCCUCGGGUCUCCCGCUCGCGGGGGGCUGCCCGCCGGAGUGCCGAAACCAAACUCUUGAUAUUUUAUGUCUCUCUGAGUAAACUUUUAAAUAAGUCA
rnacentral:misc_RNA from 1 species